AUGGUUCUGUGGGGCAUCUGCUUCCAUGACGACGAUUGUCUUGUGCUCCCUCGGGAUGGGGGUUUUGUCUCCAGAACUCACAGAAAGUUGCUGCCAUUUUCUGUUCCUUCCAAUCUCCUAAUUGCUCAGGACUGCUGUACUUCCUGGGAGGAAGCCUGUGUAGCAGGAAGAAUAGAAGCAGGAAAUGCUCUCACCACGCACGCUUGUUCUUGGGUCUUCUCACCGAGGUGUUUCAGAUGCUGUGCUGCACAGCCAUGAACUGUUCCCAACAGGAGUUCAGCGUCUCUCCAUCUAACAAGGAGACGUUUUCAUAGGUAAAGCCAAAACGGCUUCUGCUGCAUUCCGUGGCAUUGCACAUCUUCUCAAGAACGUCAGCUUGGUGUUCCACUGGGUACCAGGUACAUUGAUUGCUAAAAGGGUUUCAGAAUGUCCAUCUCUUACUGCAACACCUUAGCUUGCAGCAGACCAGCCUUCCCAUCAGGAGCCUGCAGAAGAGCAUCACAGAAUUGCUUUGAAAUAUGCGUGAGGGCGUUGGGGAGCUACCAGGCCAGCUAGAGGUACAGGGCCAAUGCCCUCACGCAACUUCCUGAGGCAAGCCCCCUGUUCUCUGUGGCUCUUGCUCUGGACCUUGGCUGAUAGAUAAAUACCACAGUCCAAGAAAUUGAAACUUUCAGCAGCGCUCAGACCUCUGAGGAGCUAAGGGUGCUAAGGGAGAGCUAAGAGGAGCCAGGGAGAACUUCUAGAAGUUUCAUGGAACUGGUGAGACGAAAAGUGGAGGUCAGGCUACAGAGUCCUUGUGACUGGAGGAACUAGGAGCCCAGACAAAAGGCGUGGACACAGAAGCGUAGGUGGUCUUUCAGCUUGAGGCAGUGCUGAAUUCUUGCCAUUAAAUGUGAGAAGCUCAGCCUUGGCAAAGAGCCUGGUGGUCUCAGAGUGCAUGGUAGACAACGGUUCGAGUUCAGAGCCCACUGAGGAGGAAUUAGGGAAACACUCUGGACUACUCCAGAUCAGUGUUUACUCAAGAGACCGGGAGCGGCGGUGCGGGGACUGAAUGAGAUUCCCCAACCUCGUACACAGAUGCUCCCAUCUAGUAAGACAGCUGCACAAAGCUUGGACAGCCAAAAGGACAAGUGUGCCCGAGGGCCACUCCCGUGGCCAAAGUAGAGUCAACUUCUGAGCUGACACUUCUGUUCUGCAAAGCCCUCUAAGGGCUGAUGAUUUUGGGAUGCCAAUCAUCUUACAGUGGGAAUUAGAAGAA
rnacentral:lncRNA from 13 species